rnacentral:rRNA from 1 species
GCGGUGGAUGAUGUGGAUUAAUUCGAUGCAACGCGAAAACCUUACCUACCUUGACAUGUCCGGAAUCCCGAAGAGAUUUGGGAGUGCUCGCAAGAGAACCGGAACACAGGUGCUGCAUGGCUGUCGUCAGCUCGUGUCGUGAGAUGUUGGGUUAAGUCCCGCAACGAGCGCAACCCUUGUCAUUAGUUGCCAUCAUUUGGUUGGGCACUCUAAUGAGACUGCCGGUGACAAACCGGAGGAAGGUGGGGAUGACGUCAAGUCCUCAUGGCCCUUAUGGGUAGGGCUUCACACGUCAUACAAUGGUCGGUACAGAGGGUUGCCAACCCGCGAGGGGGAGCUAAUCCCACAAAGCCGAUCGUAGUCCGGAUCGCAGUCUGCAACUCGACUGCGUGAAGUCGGAAUCGCUAGUAAUCGUGGAUCAGCAUGUCACGGUGAAUACGUUCCCGGGUCUU